ACACACACACACACACACACACACGAACAGGUAAGCGGAAAAAUUGGCUCGAAUCGACGGAACUACUUCCGGUGGAGCCAAUCGCGAAGGCAUCGUUCGUGAGCUCACGCCGGCUAAUUUAACCAUCGAAGAAAACCGGGAAUAGAGAUCAGGCCACAUCCGGAACCCUUCGCCGAUGUUUUUCAACCUAGGAUACGAGGAAAAUCCUCGUAAAAAGGGUUCCAUGGUUAAAUUUGUCUUUCAAAAACUUCGUUCUCGUUGAUCCUAUAUAAGAUAGAAUAAAUCUGAACGAUGGUAAAGAUCAGUAUGCCAUAGACACUAUAACUUUCUCGCUCGCACGGAUUUGUUAUUUUGUAUAACGAGACUGAGAGUAUAUUACAUAUAUAUGUACCUACAUACAUACAUGCAUACAAAUAUAUAAUACAUAUUACGUAAAUAUACAGUAUAAACAUCGAAAAAAUAUGUGAUACAUACCCUU